ACACGUGGGUAACCUGCCUUAUAGUGGGGGAUAGCCUUUCGAAAGGAAGAUUAAUACCGCAUAAGAUUGUAGUAUCGCAUGAUAUAGCAAUUAAAGGAGCAAUCCGCUAUAAGAUGGACCCGCGUCGCAUUAGCUAGUUGGUGAGGUAAUGGCUCACCAAGGCGACGAUGCGUAGCCGACCUGAGAGGGUGAACGGCCACAUUGGGACUGAGACACGGCCCAGACUCCUACGGGAGGCAGCAUG
rnacentral:rRNA from 1 species